rnacentral:rRNA from 1 species
AUAGCUCGGAACCGAGGUUAAUACCGGAUACUCCAUAUUUGUCGCAUGGCGAAUAUGGAAAGCUCCGGCGGCAAAGGAUGGGCCCGCGGCCUGUUAGCUAGUUGGUGGGGUAGUGGCCUACCAAGGCAAUGAUGGGUAGCCGGGUUGAGAGACCGACCGGCCAGAUUGGGACUGAGACACGGCCCAGACUCCUACGGGAGGCAGCAGC